GAAGGAUCAUUAUUGAAAUAAACCUGAAUGGGUUGUUGCUGGUUCUCUAGGGAGCAUGUGCACACUUGGUCAUCUUUAUAUCUCCACCUGUGCACCUUUUGUAGACCUGGAUAUCUCUCUGAAUGCUUGCAUUCAGGUUUGAGGAUUGACUUUCCGUCUCUCCUUACAUUUCCAGGCCUAUGUUUCUCCAUAUACCCCAAUGUAUGUUAUAGAAUGUAAUAAAUGGGCCUUUGUGCCUAUAAAAUUAAUACAACUUUCAGCAACGGAUCUCUUGGCUCUCGCAUCGAUGAAGAACGCAGCGAAAUGCGAUAAGUAAUGUGAAUUGCAGAAUUCAGUGAAUCAUCGAAUCUUUGAACGCACCUUGCGCUCCUUGGUAUUCCGAGGAGCAUGCCUGUUUGAGUGUCAUUAAUAUAUCAACCUCUCCAGCUUUUGCUUGUUGAGUGUUGGAUGUGGGGGGUAAUUUUUUUGCUGGCAUCUUUUGAGGUCAGCUCCCCUGAAAUGCAUUAGCGGAACAAUUUGUUGACCGUUCAUUGGUGUGAUAACUAUCUACGCUAUUGACGUGAAGCAGUUCAGCUUCUAACAGUCCAUUGACUUGGACAAAUUUCAUU
rnacentral:rRNA from 1 species